ACCAAAGUGUUGUCAGGCCAACUGAAUGAUGAUGUGGUUGCUAUGGAAACAGAAAAGGCUGCCAGCUGUUUUACCAGGGAUCCAGAGACAUAGAGGAAGUAGGGGGUGGUAUGAGAUUAUAUUUUCUGUUUUUAAAAGAUUUUUUUUUUUUAUGUAUUUAGUAGAGUAUAAAGAAAAGCAGAUGCCUAUAGAUGUCUGGAGCAUAUUUUCAUUUGUGAUCUAAUGUUUUAAUUUGUAAAGUGUACAAGUCAUUUUUAAUGUUAAAAAUUAGUGAAUCUAACAAAAGGAAUAAAUUAGCAAUAUUUGAUGUGGUUAUGAAAAGUUGUUUUUGUUUCUAGGUUCCUAGUUUCUUAAGGAUUCAGGGCAUGGGAAGUAAAACAUUGACUAUGUGCCAAUAAUGGAGGUUGUCACCAGGCUGGAGUGCAUUGGUACAGUCACGGUUCACUGCAGCCUCCACCUCCUGGGCUCAAGGGAUCCUCCUAUCUCAGCCUCCCAAGUAGCUGGGUCUACAGAACAGAAACUUUGGUUAUAAGAAGCACUUCUGGGUUCUGACAGACAGUGAACCUGCUGGAGUCGGUGGUGGGGAGGAAUGGUUCUUCUUCAGCUUGGGAAGCAGAACGGAUAGGAGCGGAGCGAUCAGUCCUCUGAUCACCUUGAGAACCCUGGCAGCGAAAGGAGCACACCAGGCGUUAACCAAGACUAUGGAAAUGAUGUCAGACAAAAAGCGAAUUUGAGUGACUUUCUUAUUCGAGUUCAAAAUGGGUCGUAAAGCAGUGGAGACAACUUGCAAUAUCAACAAUGCAUUUGGCCCAGGAACUGCUAAUGAACGUACAGUGCGGUGGUGGUUCACGAAGCUUUGCAAAGGAGACGAGGGACUUGAAGAUGAGGAGCAUAGUGGCUGACCAUUGGAAGUUGACAGCGACUACUCAAGAACAAUAAUCAAAGCUGAUUCUCUUACAACUACACGAGAAGUUGCUGAAGAAUUCAACAUUGACCAUUCUAUGGUCUUUCUACAUUUGAAGCAAAUCGGAAAGGUGAAAAAACUCAAUAAGUAGGUGCCUCAUGAGCCAAGCAAAAAUAAAUUGUUGUUUGGAAGCAUCUUCUCUUAUUCUGUGCAACAACAAUGAACCAUUUCUCAGUCGGAUUGUGACGUGGGACGAAAAUUGGAUUUUAUAUGACAACCACUGACAACCAGCUCAGCUGUUGGACUGAGAAGCUCCAAAGCCAAACUUGCACCAAAAAAA
rnacentral:lncRNA from 1 species